UAGUCCACGCCGUAAACGAUGUAUGCUAGUUGUCGGGGCUUUGGUCUCGGUGACGUAGGGAAACCAUUAAGCAUACCGCCUGGGGAGUACGGUCGCAAGAUUAAAACUCAAAGGAAUUGACGGGGACCCGCACAAGCGGUGGAGCAUGUUGUUUAAUUCGAAGCAACGCGAAGAACCUUACCUACACUUGACAUCCUUCUUGGGGUAUUCAGAGAUGAAUACUUUCGGUUCGGCCGGGGAAGUGACAGGUGCUGCAUGGCUGUCGUCAGCUCGUGUCGUGAGAUGUUCGGUUAAGUCCGGUAACGAGCGCAACCCUUAUCGUAUGUUGCCAUCAUUCAGUUGGGCACUCAUGCGAGACUGCCGGUGACAAGCCGGAGGAAGGCGGGGACGACGUCAAGUCAUCAUGGCCCUUACGUGUAGGGCUACAAACGUGCUACAAUGGGUAUGACAGUGGGCAGCCACUCCGCGAGGAGGCGCUAAUCCCUAAACGUACUCUCAGUUCGGAUUGUUCUCUG
rnacentral:rRNA from 1 species